GUAGGGAAUCUUCCACAAUGGACGCAAGUCUGAUGGAGCAACGCCGCGUGAGUGAAGAAGGUUUUCGGAUCGUAAAGCUCUGUUGUUGGUGAAGAAGGAUAGAGGCAGUAACUGGUCUUUAUUUGACGGUAAUCAACCAGAAAGUCACGGCUAACUACGUGCCAGCAGCCGCGGUAAUACGUAGGUGGCAAGCGUUGUCCGGAUUUAUUGGGCGUAAAGCGAGCGCAGGCGGAAUGAUAAGUCUGAUGUGAAAGCCCACGGCUCAACCGUGGAACUGCAUCGGAAACUGUCAUUCUUGAGUGCAGAAGAGGAGAGUGGAACUCCAUGUGUAGCGGUGGAAUGCGUAGAUAUAUGGAAGAACACCAGUGGCGAAGGCGGCUCUCUGGUCUGCAACUGACGCUGAGGCUCGAAAGCAUGGGUAGCGAACAGGAUUAGAUACCCUAGUAGUCC
rnacentral:rRNA from 1 species